rnacentral:sRNA from 1 species
GCCGGGCAUGGUGGCGUGCACCAGUAAUCCCAGUGGCUUGGGAGGCUGAGGCAGGAGGAUCAUGAUUUCAAAGCCAACCUUAGCAAAAGUGAGGUGCUAAAAACUCAAUGAGAUCCUGUCUCUA